AAUGCUUAGGAAUCUGCCUAUUAGUGGGGGACAACAUUCCGAAAGGAAUGCUAAUACCGCAUACGCCCUACGGGGGAAAGCAGGGGAUCUUCGGACCUUGCGCUAAUAGAUGAGCCUAAGUCAGAUUAGCUAGUUGGUGGGGUAAAGGCCUACCAAGGCGACGAUCUGUAGCGGGUCUGAGAGGAUGAUCCGCCACACUGGGACUGAGACACGGCCCAGACUCCUACGGGAGGCAGCAGUGGGGAAUAUUGGACAAUGGGCGAAAGCCUGAUCCAGCCAUGCCGCGUGUGUGAAGAAGGCCUUUUGGUUGUAAAGCACUUUAAGCGAGGAGGAGGCUACCGAGAUUAAUACUCUUGGAUAGUGGACGUUACUCGCAGAAUAAGCACCGGCUAACUCUGUGCCAGCAGCCGCGGUAAUACAGAGGGUGCGAGCGUUAAUCGGAUUUACUGGGCGUAAAGCGUGCGUAGGCGGCUUUUUAAGUCGGAUGUGAAAUCCCUGAGCUUAACUUAGGAAUUGCAUUCGAUACUGGGAAGCUAGAGUAUGGGAGAGGAUGGUAGAAUUCCAGGUGUAGCGGUGAAAUGCGUAGAGAUCUGGAGG
rnacentral:rRNA from 1 species